rnacentral:rRNA from 1 species
UACGAAGGGGGCUAGCGUUGCUCGGAAUUACUGGGCGUAAAGCGCACGUAGGCGGCUUUCUAAGUCGGGGGUGAAAUCCCGGGGCUCAACCCCGGAACUGCCUUUGAUACUGGCAUUCUCGAGUCCGGAAGAGGUGAGUGGAAUUCCGAGUGUAGAGGUGAAAUUCGUAGAUAUUCGGAGGAACACCAGUGGCGAAGGCGGCUCACUGGUCCGGUACUGACGCUGAGGUGCGAAAGCGUGGGGAGCAAACAGG